CUCCACAAGGCCCUUCUCCUUCCCUCCAGGCUGAACCAGGCUUGUAGAAGUGCACAUUAUCUUGGGACUGCAAAUCACCAAGGGUAGGGAAAGGGCAGGUGGAUGCUGAAGGCAGUGGAGGUCUCUAGCACAAGGAACUCGUAAGAAUCCCCAAAAUCCAAUGCUUUUGUCUGCGGUUCGUCUUUCCUAGCAGGACACUGGCUGAUUAUAGAUUACUGACUACACUGACUGAUCGCACAUUUAGUAUGAAUGUGGACUGGAGCUGCAGCCACCAGCCCUGGGCUCCAUGCAAAUGACAAUAAUCCAGCCCAUCAGAAGCAAGGCUCAGAUACCCCUGGAUGGAAGCCAGAUGAGGCCUCUGCCACGUCCCACCUGUGCGACCUUGGACAGGUGAGGCCAGAUUUCCUCCAGCUAUUUUGACCAAAACAAAAAACUGCAACAGAUUGAAUGAAGAAGCAGAUAAAAGAAGCCAGCUGUCUUCUACUAAGAUUUGUAAAAACAAUGCCACUCUUCUUACUAAAAUGUUUUGUUUUAGAAAACAGAAUUAUUUUUCCCCAAAAUGUUACUUAUAUUGACUUGUAAGAGUAUGCUAUUGUUAAGUCAAGAAAUAAAUAAAUCUUUCCAAUAUCUCA